rnacentral:rRNA from 1 species
GGUGAAACUCAAAGGAAUUGACGGGGGCCCGCACAAGCGGAGGAACAUGUGGUUUAAUUCGAUGAUACGCGAGGAACCUUACCCGGGCUUAAAUUGCAUUUGAAUAAUCUGGAAACAGGUUAGCCGCAAGGCAAAUGUGAAGGUGCUGCAUGGUUGUCGUCAGCUCGUGCCGUGAGGUGUCGGCUUAAGUGCCAUAACGAGCGCAACCCUUAUCUUUAGUUACUAACAGGUCAUGCUGAGGACUCUAGAGAGACUGCCGUCGUAAGAU